rnacentral:rRNA from 1 species
UACGGGGGGGGUAAGCGUUGUUCGGAAUUACUGGGCGUAAAGGGCUCGUAGGCGGCCAACUAAGUCGGACGUGAAAUCCCCAGGCUCAACCUGGGAACUGCGUCCGAUACUGGAUGGCUUGAAUCCGGGAGAGGGAUGCAGAAUUCCAGGUGUAGCGGUGAAAUGCGUAGAUAUCUGGAGGAAUACCGGUGGCGAAGGCGGCAUCCUGGACCGGCAUUGACGCUGAGGAGCGAAAGCCAGGGGAGCAAACGGG